UACGUAGGGGGCUAGCGUUGUCCGGAUUUAUUGGGCGUAAAGAGCGUGUAGGCGGCCAGGUAGGUCUGGUGUGAAAACUCGAGGCUUAACCUCGAGAUGUCAUCGGAAACCAUCUGGCUAGAGUCCGGAAGAGGAGAGUGGAAUUCCUGGUGUAGCGGUGAAAUGCGCAGAUAUCAGGAAGAACACCAAUGGCGAAAGCAGCUCUCUGGGACGGUACUGACGCUGAGACGCGAAAGCGUGGGGAGUGAACAGG
rnacentral:rRNA from 1 species